AGUGAACGCUGGCGGCGUGCCUAAUACAUGCAAGUCGAACGGACAAGUAAGAGCUUGCUCUUAUGAGUUAGUGGCGCACGGGUGAGUAAUGUAUAGCUAAUCUGCCCUACACUAGAGGACAACAGUUGGAAACGACUGCUAAUACUCUAUACUCCUGUCUUACAUAAGUUAGAUAGGGAAAGUUUUUCGGUGUAGGAUGAGGCUAUAUUGUAUCAGCUAGUUGGUGAGGUAAUGGCUCACCAAGGCUAUGACGCAUAACUGGUCUGAGAGGAUGAUCAGUCACACUGGAACUGAGACACGGUCCAGACUCCUACGGGAGGCAGCAGUAGGGAAUAUUGCUCAAUGGGGGAAACCCUGAAGCAGCAACGCCGCGUGGAGGAUGACACUUUUCGGAGCGUAAACUCCUUUUGUUAGGGAAGAACAAUGACGGUACCUAACGAAUAAGCACCGGGA
rnacentral:rRNA from 1 species